GACGAACGCUGGCGGCGUGCCUAAUACAUGCAAGUCGAGCGGACCAAAGGGAGCUUGCUCCUGGAGGUCAGCGGCGAACGGGUGAGUAACACGUGGGCAACCUGCCUGUAAGACUGGGAUAACAUCGAGAAAUCGGUGCUAAUACCGGAUAAUAAAAAGAACUGCAUGGUUCUUUUUUGAAAGAUGGUUUCGGCUAUCACUUACAGAUGGGCCCGCGGCGCAUUAGCUAGUUGGUGAGGUAACGGCUCACCAAGGCAACGAUGCGUAGCCGACCUGAGAGGGUGAUCGGCCACACUGGGACUGAGACACGGCCCAGACUCCUACGGGAGGCAGCAGUAGGGAAUCUUCCGCAAUGGACGAAAGUC
rnacentral:rRNA from 1 species